rnacentral:sRNA from 1 species
CCGCCCGGAACCACCGGUCAAAUCGUAGCGUAGGGCGAAUAACCGCAUCGCGGUUAUCCGCCGAUUGUGCAGGGCCGCGGCGGAUAACGCCUAUGGCGUUAUUCGCCCUACCGUCCGCAGCACAGCCCCAGCCUCGGCA